rnacentral:rRNA from 1 species
CAGUAGCCGCGGUAAUACGGAGGGUGCAAGCGUUAAUCGGAAUUACUGGGCGUAAAGCGCACGCAGGCGGUCUGACAAGUCAGAUGUGAAAUCCCCGGGCUUAACCUGGGAACUGCAUUUGAAACUGUCAGGCUGGAGUCUUGUAGAGGGGGGUAGAAUUCCAGGUGUAGCGGUGAAAUGCGUAGAGAUCUGGAGGAAUACCAAUGGCGAAGGCAGCCCCCUGGGAUAACACUGACGCUCAUGCACGAAAGCGUGGGGAGCAAACAGGAUUAGAUACCCCAGUAGUCCCUGUCUCUUAUAC